rnacentral:rRNA from 1 species
UGCGUAGGCGGCCCUGUCCGUCAGAGGUGAAAUCUACCGGCUCACCCGGUCAGACUGCCUCUGAAACUGCAGGGCUUGAGUCCGUGAGGGGAUGGUGGAAUUCCUGGUGUAACGGUGAAAUGUGCAGAUAUCAGGAAGAACACCGGUGGCGAAGGCGGCCAUCUGGCACGGUACUGACGCUGAGGCACGAAAGCUAGGGUAUCGAACG